rnacentral:rRNA from 1 species
GACGUAGGGGACGAGCGUUGUCCGGAUUUAUUGGGCGUAAAGAGCGUGUAGGCGGCCAGGUAGGUCCGUUGUGAAAACUCGAGGCUCAACCUCGAGACGCCGAUGGAAACCCCCUGGCUAGAGUCCGGAAGAGGAGAGUGGAAUUCCUGGUGUAGCGGCGAAAUGCGCAGAUAUCAGGAAGAGCACCCGUGGCUGAGGCGGCUCUCUAGUACGGUACUGACGCUGAGACGCGAAAGCGUGGGGAGCGAACAGG